GACGAACGCUGGCGGCGUGCUUAACACAUGCAAGUCGAACGAUGAGGCCGGAGCUUGCUCUGGUGAAUUAGUGGCGAACAGGUGAGUAACACGUGAGUAACCUGCCCUUGACUCUGGGAUAACUGCGGGAAACUGUAGCUAAUACCGGAUACGACCCUCGGCGGCAUCGCCAGGGGGUGGAAAGAAUUUCGGUCAAGGAUGGACUCGCGGCCUAUCAGCUAGUUGGUGAGGUAACGGCUCACCAAGGCGACGACGGGUAGCCGGCCUGAGAGGGUGACCGGCCACACUGGGACUGAGACACGGCCCAGACUCCUACGGAAGGCAGCAGUGGGGAAUAUUGCACAAUGGGCGCAAGCCUGAUGCAGCAACGCCGCGUGAGGGAUGACGGCCUUCGGGUUGUAAACCUCUUUUAGUAGGGAAGAAGCGAAAGUGACGGUACCUGCAGAAAAAGCACCGGCUAACUACGUGCCAGCCGCCGCGGUAA
rnacentral:rRNA from 1 species